CCUACGGGAGGCAGCAGUGGGGAAUAUUGCACAAUGGGGGAAACCCUGAUGCAGCGACGCAGCGUGAGUGAAGAAGUACUUCGUUAUGUAAAGCUCUAUCAGUAGGGAAGAAAAUGACCGUACCUGAGUAAGAAGCCCCGGCUAACUACGUGCCAGCAGCCGCGGUAAUACGUCGGGGGCCAGCGUUAUCCGGAUUUACUGGGUGGAAAGGGAGCGUAGACGGCAGUGCAAGGCUGGAGUGAAAGGCGGGGGCUCAACCCCCGGACUGCUCUGGAAACUGGACGGCUGGAGUGCAGGAGAGGUAAGUGGAAGUCCUAGUGUAGCGGUGAAAUGCGUAGAUAUUAGGAAGAACACCAGUAGCGAAGGCAGCUUACUGGACUGGAACUGACGUUGAGGCUCGAAAGCGUGGGGAGCAAACAGGAUUAGAUACCCCGGUAGUC
rnacentral:rRNA from 1 species